GAUGAAGAACGUAGUGAAAUGCGAUAAGUAAUGUGAAUUGCAGAAUUCAGUGAAUCAUCGAAUCUUUGAACGCACAUUGCGCCCGGCAGUACUCUGCCGGGCAUGCCUGUUCGAGCGUCAUUUCAACCCUCAAGCCCUGCUUGGUGUUGGGGUCCUACGGCCGCCGUGGGCCCUGAAAGGAAGUGGCGGGCUCGCUACAACUCCGAGCGUAGUAAUUCAUUAUCUCGCUUAGGGCGUUGGGCGGCGCUCCUGCCGUUAAAGAACCAUCUUUAACUCAAGGUUGACCUCGGAUCAGGUAGGAAUACCCGCUGAACUUAAGCAUAUCAAUAAGCGGAGGA
rnacentral:misc_RNA from 1 species